rnacentral:rRNA from 1 species
CGGCGAGUGAAGCGGCAACAGCUCAAAUUUGAAAUCUGGCUCUCUUUGGGGGUCCGAGUUGUAAUUUGCAGAGGAUGCUUUGGCAUUGGCGGCGGUCUAAGUUCCUUGGAACAGGACAUCACAGAGGGUGAGAAUCCCGUACGUGGUCGCCUGCCUUUGCCGUGUAAAGCUCCUUCGACGAGUCGAGUUGUUUGGGAAUGCAGCUCUAAAUGGGAGGUAAAUUUCUUCUAAAGCUAAAUACCGGCCAGAGACCGAUAGCGCACAAGUAGAGUGAUCGAAAGAUGAAAAGUACUUUGGAAAGAGAGUCAAAAAGCACGUGAAAUUGUUGAAAGGGAAGCGCUUGCAGCCAGACUUGCCCGCAGUUGCUCACCUAGGCUUUGGCCUGGGGCACUCUUCUGCGGGCAGGCCAGCAUCAGUUUGGGCGGUUGGAUAAAGGCCUCUGUCACGUAUCUUCCUUCGGGAUGACCUUAUAGGGGAGGCGUAAUGCAACCAGCCCGGACUGAGGUCCGCGCAUCUGCUAGGAUGCUGGCGUAAUGGCUGUAAGCGGCCCGUCUUGAAACACGGACCAAGGAGUCUAACAUCUAUGCGAGUGUUUGGGUGUCAAGCCCGGGCGCGCAAUGAAAGUGAACGGAGGUGGGAACCCUUUGGGUGCACCAUCGACCGAUCCUGAUGUCUUCGGAUGGAUUUGAGUAAGAGCAUAGCUGUUGGGACCCGAAAGAUGGUGAACUAUGCUUGAAUAGGGUGAAGCCAGAGGAAACUCUGGUGGAGGCUCGCAGCGGUUCUGACGUGCAAAUCGAUCGUCAAAUUUGGGCAUAGGGGCGAAAG